GGAAGUAAAAGUCGUAACAAGGUUUCCGUAGGUGAACCUGCGGAAGGAUCAUUAAUGAUUUUUAAAGCGAGUCGAGCGAUAAGCGAGGCUUGCGAAAUAUUUAAAACCCCACUCUUUUAACCUUAAAAAAUAAAUCAUGAUACAUGAAUUUAAAAAAAAAGAUCACUUUCAACAACGGAUCUCUUGGCUCUCGCAUCGAUGAAGAACGCAGCGAAAUGCGAUAAGUAGUGUGAAUUGCAUAAUUUUGUGAAUCAUCGAAUCUUUGAACGCAUAUUGCACUUUCUGGUAUUCCGGAAAGUAUGCCUGUUUGAGGGUCAGUUAAAUAAAAAUCGGUGUUGUUGCUGCCUUUCGUGGUGACGCGUCGGAAUUGAGUCGUCUUACCUUCGGUUAAGUGACUUAAAAUUUUGUAUGAUUUUUGAACGUAUUUAAAUUUAUUUGUACGUUUGAGAUAUCGAAUGUUUAUUAGGUUCGGUCAUUCUAAUGACUCGCGCCUAUAGUUUUUCAUUAAAUGACCUCAAAUCAGGUAAGAAUACCCGCUGAACUUAAGCAUAUCAAUAAGCGGAGGA
rnacentral:rRNA from 1 species